UGCCUUUGUGUUGCCCAUUCAUUACUUUGGCUAGUGAAUGUGGUGUCAGAAAAGGCAUAUAUUAACUUUAGCUGUCAUACUACCAGGAGUUGGUUAUGUACCUUCUCUGUAUUUCAGCUAAAACACAC
ensembl:snoRNA small nucleolar RNA SNORA13